CACAUUCAAAAAAGUUUUCCAAUAUACUUUUGAAUACACAUAAAUUGUGGCUAACAUUUUCACACUCUGCAAGAUUUAUUCGUUUUCAAAACGAAAACAUUUUCGUUGACGAAAUUAAAAGUAAACGGCAUUUUAUACAACGAAACGAACCUUAAUUACAAAAGGAAUACCCUAUAUCAGAGAAAAAAUUUGUUUGAAAACUGGAGAGCCUUAAAACGAAACGUUUUAGCUGAACACGUAAUCCGCUAAAGUAAUUGAAAAACGGAGCCUGCCUGAAUGUAAUGAAUUUAAUAAGAACAAAUUUUCAAAAAGAGUAAGAAAUUCCACUUUUGACCACAUUUCUUGGAAUAUGCAUAAAUAGAUCAUAAACUCAAAUUCAACAAUGCAGAGUAGUUUGUUACCGUACUGCAACAAAAUGGAUUAUAUGCAGGCUACAUUAAUUCGCAAUGCUGUACGGCGAGGCCUUAGUCCUGCGUUUCAAAGCAAUGAUCAGUAUUGCGAAAUAAUCGAUUAAUCAAAGCGGAAAAAUUCAAAGUCUUCUAGCUCACACUGCUAGUAGAAUUGUUUGCAUACAAGAUGAAGUUAUUUUAAAUGUAAUGCUAGAGCAAGGCGCGCAGUUUUUGGCUGCAGAUUUGACUUCGAGUUAUGGUUUUGAUGGUAGCUCAGGCCAAUCCUCAAUCUAUUAGACUUAGGGCAAAACCAUCAGAUUUCGUUUCCAAUAUUUUAAAUAUGAAACUAUUCAAAUUUAAAAAUAAUUAAAAUACCAAUUAAGCCUUCUACACUGCUGGAUUCGCAUGUUUAAAUUUAUUUUGAUCGCCGGAUACAAAGCACUCUUAAAAUCUUGAGGAUUGUGUUGAUAAGUCAUUCAUGCUAAUUGCCGAUAAGUGUUGAAAAAUUUAAGCAAUUCUACCAUAAAACUGCGGAUUAAAAUAUUGUUACUCAAUGUCAUCAUCCACUGAUCUUCUAGUCACUAUUAUUCUGAAGUAAUCUGUUUAUGAUGUCGGAGAUGGUUCCCUAAAUGAAGGAAGGUUAGACGAAGAGGAAGAUCUUCUGGCUGUAUCUAAGUAAUAGACGAUACGGAGGAGGAUUGAAGAGAAGAACAAAAACCAAAUACAAACCGACAGUAAAGUAAGUGAACUGUUGGCCUGAUGUAAUCUGUUCAUGAUGUCCGUGGUGGUUUUGCAGUUGAAGGAAGUUCAGACGCAGAGGAAGAUCUUCUGGCGGUAUCUAAGUAGUAGACGAGAACGAAAGAUUCGAGGGAGGAUUGAAGAGGAAAACAACAACCAAAUACAAACCGAUAGUAAAACAUGGAAACUACAUAGCAACGAAAUGUAUAUGGUACAGUGGUAAACGGAUAGUGUCGACACUGUGCUGCACUGUGUGGCGGGUGGCCGCCUCUUGCCAUCUUCGUCGAUUCUAGCACGGUUUCUUGCACUGCAUCAUACCUGCAGCACAGUAUCCGGGAAACUGAACGCACUUCAGGAAAAAUUCAGCAAUACCCUGGAAUGGAUUGUUAUUAAUUUUCAAUUUAUAGCAAGACUGCGGCUGUGGCUAUUCCUGAAUGAACUCACUUCGCAGCAGUCACUGCAUUGAGAGAACAUAUAAGACCAGAUAUAGAAGAAGGCCCCGAAAAAGGCCACAAAGAACGACAGCCAGAGCAAGACAAUUAGCCAGAAAAGGAAAUACAGUGGAUUCUUCAUUGUCAAUUUUGUGGGUAUAUUUGCCUUUGUUUCGAAUACUGAAUUCCUGAAAUUCUGACACAAGUAUUUUUUUACAGAUAAAACAAGAGCUACUUGAUUAGAUAGCCUGGAAAAACUAUUUAUUUAUUUAUUUUUCUCGCCCUCAAUUUUAUUCUUCGCUUUUUGUGUUUCUUAUUCUAUGCGCUCUAUGCUACUGGAGUAUAUUUACAUAUGCGUUGGUACUGACGGUACAGCACAGUGGGCUUAAGAACUAAUUUGUUUCAAGCAAUUACAGUGGUUUUAAGAACUAAAAGUAUAUGUGAAGAUGUACAACGGGAUGGUACUGAUACAACAUUAAUGAAUGUAGUUGGUCAUGGCAUACGGCUCUAGAGCAUUGCUUUUCUGAAAUGAAAAA